rnacentral:rRNA from 1 species
GAUGAACGCUGGCGGCGUGCCUAAUACAUGCAAGUCGAGCGAACGGACGAGAAGCUUGCUUCUCUGAUGUUAGCGGCGGACGGGUGAGUAACACGUGGAUAACCUACCUAUAAGACUGGGAUAACUUCGGGAAACCGGAGCUAAUACCGGAUAAUAUUUUGAACCGCAUGGUUCAAAAGUGAAAGACGGUCUUGCUGUCACUUAUAGAUGGAUCCGCGCUGCAUUAGCUAGUUGGUAAGGUAACGGCUUACCAAGGCAACGAUGCAUAGCCGACCUGAGAGGGUGAUCGGCCACACUGGAACUGAGACACGGUCCAGACUCCUACGGGAGGCAGCAGUAGGGAAUGUUCCGCAAUGGGCGAAAGCAUGACGGAGCAACGCCGCGUGAGUGAUGAAGGUCUUCGGAUCGUAAAACUCUGUUAUUAGGGAAGAACAUAUGUGUAAGUAACUGUGCACAUCUUGACGGUACCUAAUCAGAAAGCCACGGCUAACUACGUG